AUACAUUACAUGUAUAAACAUAAAGUACUUAAAAACACAAAGAAGAUUAACAUGGCCCCUGCACAAGGAUGACACCCAAAUUGAUGAAGCAUUCCACAUUUUU
ensembl:snRNA U6 U6 spliceosomal RNA